AAUAAUUCAAUAUGCAAAAAUUGGAGUGUUGAAAUUUCAGGGUUAAAAAUUUCCGAGUUGAUUUUCACUCCCAGAGUGUAAUUUUAACACAUUCUGAUUUAAAUGGUGUUCAGUGUUAUUUGGUUAUUUGGCAGAGUUGAUCAUGUCAGUGUUAACCCAACUCCGCAGAGAUGUAAUUAAGCUCCGCCCAUGCCUUUCACCUCUUCGGUUAGAGACAGAGAAGACAAGUCUGCACCAUUUUCUACCUCUCAUGCAGUACUACACGUUGAUAGAAGCUGUGCUAAGAGGCAAGUCUGGAGGUGAAGAAGUACUACAGAAGUACCAAACAACAGAAACCCUAACAGAUGCUGCAAGAAGACAAAUGGUUAAUUUCCUGGUGGCUCACAUGAUUGACAAUCAUGGGCACUGCCCCACUAAAACAAUCAGAGAAGAUUAUGCACGUGGGAUAGUGAUGCUGUUCCCUUCCCUUAAGGAUCCAUACUCCAAGAAGGGCUAUGAACACUUCUAUGAUGCUGCAAGCAGCACAGGAUACAUUUCUUGGCGUCUGAAAACAGUCCAGAGGAAGAUUCGUCAAGGAUCUGCACAGCCACUCUUUCAUCUCCUUCCACCACCUCCAGGGGGACUGAAGUCUCCAAAAAUUAGUGCAUGUGAUGCAGUUGAAAGACUUGUUGUAUUUCAUAAGUCAUGCUGCAGUUUGGAGGAGCAUCUCCGCAACCAGCAGGGUCGGCAGCCGUACCUCCUCGCUGUUGGGCGUCAGAAGAGCAAGAUUGACAGCCUCUACAUCACCAUGGAUAAGCGUCUCAUCCCAUGCAAGGCAAACCGCUUCCUCGGGGCAUGUGAUGAACUUUUCAAAGCACAUUUUGUGUUUAAUUUGUCUUACGAUGUGGCACUUGUGAAUUUUUAUACAUUCCUGCAGACAACAGUGUAUAACAUUGAUGUGGGGAAAAUGAAGGAGUCACCCAGAGUUAAAGACUUGAGAGCAAGACUGCUUAACCAGCCAGUAGCAUUCUCACCCUGUGAGUAAGAAGCUAUAACAAUGCUGACCUGUUUCAUGUGUUGAAAAACAAGCUAUUUACAGAGAAUUUUCAUGACCAUCAUCAUGCAUUCAGAGUAUUACAAAAUGCGGAAAGAUGUUUACUAAAAAUGUCUGCGCUUAAAUUUCAUAAACCGUUUCAUAUUCAAAGCUCAUACAAUGUUUUGGAUGGAAGUUUGUACAUUAUACCUUCAUUCACAAUGUUUUAAUUCAACUGACUGCAAGGGAGAAAAGGAAUAAAUGUUUUUGAAAAUGUUUUUGUUUAUUGUGAUGAAUUCUUAUUAAUUAUUAAGUAUAUAUUUAAUUAAUACAUUUAAAAUGAAUUAACAUUUUUUCAGUGUAGAUAAUUGACACAUUAGGG
ensembl:lncRNA